UGGGGAAUCUUCCGCAAUGGGCGAAAGCCUGACGGAGCAACGCCGCGUGAGUGAAGACGGCCUUCGGGUUGUAAAACUCUGUGAUUCGGGACGAAAGAUAAGCAGACGAAUAAUCUGCAUAAGUGACGGUACCGAAAAAGCAAGCCACGGCUAACUACGUGCCAGCAGCCGCGGUAAUACGUAGGUCCCGAGCGUUGUCCGGAUUUAUUGGGCGUAAAGCGAGCGCAGGCGGUUAGAAAAGUCUGAAGUGAAAGGCAGUGGCUCAACCAUUGUAGGCUUUGGAAACUGUUUAACUUGAGUGCAGGAGGGGAGAGUGGAAUUCCAUGUGUAGCGGUGAAAUGCGUAGAUAUAUGGAGGAACACCGGUGGCGAAAGCGGCUCUCUGGUCUGUAACUGACGCUGAGGCUCGAAAGCGUGGGGAGCGAACAGG
rnacentral:rRNA from 1 species